rnacentral:rRNA from 1 species
GAACGCUGGCGGCGUGCCUAAUACAUGCAAGUCGAGCGAACAGAUAAGGAGCUUGCUCCUUUGACGUUAGCGGCGGACGGGUGAGUAACACGUGGGUAACCUACCUAUAAGACUGGGAUAACUUCGGGAAACCGGAGCUAAUACCGGAUAACAUUUGGAACCGCAUGGUUCUAAAGUGAAAGAUGGUUUUGCUAUCACUUAUAGAUGGACCCGCGCCGUAUUAGCUAGUUGGUAAGGUAACGGCUUACCAAGGCAACGAUACGUAGCCGACCUGAGAGGGUGAUCGGCCACACUGGAACUGAGACACGGUCCAGACUCCUACGAGAGGCAGCAGUAGGGAAUCUUCCGCAAUGGGCGAAAGCCUGACGGAGCAACGCCGCGUGAGUGAUGAAGGGUUUCGGCUCGUAAAACUCUGUUAUUAGGGAAGAACAAAUGUGUAAGUAACUGUGCACGUCUUGACGGUACCUAAUCAGAAAGCCACGGCUAACUACGUGCCAGCAGCCGCGGUAAUACGUAGGUGGCAAGCGUUAUCCGGAAUUAUUGGGCGUAAAGCGCGCGUAGGCGGUUUCUUAAGUCUGAUGUGAAAGCCCACGGCUCAACCGUGGAGGGUCAUUGGAAACUGGGAAACUUGAGUGCAGAAGAGGAAAGUGGAAUUCCAUGUGUAGCGGUGNNUGCGCAGAGAUAUGGAGGAACACCAGUGGCGAA